AAAUGGAAGUGAGAAUGAGAGUGAAGAUGGGAAUGAGAAGAAAGAUGAGAGGGAAGGAUGGGAGGAAGAAGUAACAGAAGUGAAAAAAAUAAAAACUAAAAACUGAAAUUUAUUUGAAAUUGUUUUCACUUUCAAGUUUUUGUUUUCACUUUUGUUACUCCUCCUUCUCAUCCUCUCUCUCAAUCUCACCCUCACUCCCAUAUCUCACUCUUAUUUU
rnacentral:snoRNA from 1 species